AUUGAACGCUGGCGGCAGGCUUAACACAUGCAAGUCGAGCGGGGGAAGGUAGCUUGCUACCGGACCUAGCGGCGGACGGGUGAGUAAUGCUCAGGAAUCUGCCUAUUAGUGGGGGACAACAUCUCGAAAGGGAUGCUAAUACCGCAUACGUCCUACGGGAGAAAGCAGGGGAUCUUCGGACCUUGCGCUAAUAGAUGAGCCUAAGUCGGAUUAGCUAGUUGGUGGGGUAAAGGCCUACCAAGGCGACGAUCUGUAGCGGGUCUGAGAGGAUGAUCCGCCACACUGGGACUGAGACACGGCCCAGACUCCUACGGGAGGCAGCAGUGGGGAAUAUUGGACAAUGGGGGGAACCCUGGUCCAGCCAUGCCGCGUGUGUGAAGAAGGCCUUAUGGUUGUAAAGCACUUUAAGCGAGGAGGAGGCUACUCUAGUUAAUACCUAGGGAUAGUGGACGUUACUCGCAGAAUAAGCACCGGCUAACUCUGUGCCAGCAGCCGCCGUAA
rnacentral:rRNA from 1 species